CCCCUAGAUGUUCUGGGCCGCACGCGCGCUACACUGAACAGUUCAACAAGUCUUAACCUUGGCCGAUAGGUCUGGGUAAUCUUUGAACGCUGUUCGUGAUUGGGAUAGACCUUUGCAAUUAUGGGUCUUCAACGAGGAAUUCCUAGUAAACGCAAGUCAUCAGCUUGAAUUGAUUACGUCCCUGCCCUUUGUACACACCGCCCGUCGCACCUACCGAUUGAAUGGUCCGGUGAAAUCUCGGGACGGCGGCUUGGUCGCUUGCGUCCGACUGCUGAAACUUGAUUAAACCAUAUCAUUUAGAGGAAGGUGAAGUCGUAACA
rnacentral:rRNA from 1 species